CCUUCCACUAUUCGCCACGUUGCUUUCUUUCUUUCAAUGGAUAUCUCCUUUCAUUAAUUGAAGAACAUUCACCUUGUUCUACUCUUUGUUCUUUUCCAACUUUUAAACCUUGUCAUUUCUCACUCAAUGGUUGGUACUCUUCAUCAUUAUCAUCAUCCCAAUCUUCAACAUCUUCAUUUGUUUCAUUGCUGGUCCUUUCAAUUGUAUGAGUCUUUAUCUUUUCAACUUGCUUUGGCUUUUCAAUUUCAUCAUCUUCAUUGACGUCAUCUUCUUGUUUCUUUGUUGAAUUCAAAGAUGUGUCCACAAACACACCAUUACUCCCAC
rnacentral:lncRNA from 1 species